GUUAGGAAUAUUGGACAAUGGGCGCAAGCCUGAUCCAGCAAUGCCGCGUGCAGGAAGAAGGCCUUCGGGUUGUAAACUGCUUUUGUACGGAACGAAACGGUCCUGGUUAAUACCUGGGGCUAAUGACGGUACCGUAAGAAUAAGCACCGGCUAACUACGUGCCAGCAGCCGCGGUAAUACGUAGGGUGCGAGCGUUAAUCGGAAUUACUGGGCGUAAAGCGUGCGCAGGCGGUGCUGUAAGACAGGCGUGAAAUCCCCGGGCUCAACCUGGGAAUUGCGCUUGUGACUGCAGUGCUGGAGUACGGCAGAGGGGGAUGGAAUUCCGCGUGUAGCAGUGAAAUGCGUAGAUAUGCGGAGGAACACCGAUGGCGAAGGCAGUCCCCUGGGCCUGUACUGACGCUCAUGCACGAAAGCGUGGGGAGCAAACAGGAUUAGAUACCCGAGUAGUCC
rnacentral:rRNA from 1 species